rnacentral:rRNA from 1 species
UUUGCGUCGAAGGUAUACCGGUAAGGAGUGCUGGAGCGAAUAGAAGUGAGCAUGCAGGCAUGAGUAGCGAUAAUUAAUGUGAGAAUCAUUAACGCCGUAAACCCAAGGUUUCCUACGCGAUGCUCGUCAUCGUAGGGUUAGUCGGGUCCUAAGUCGAGUCCGAAAGGGGUAGACGAUGGCAAAUUGGUUAAUAUUCCAAUACCAACAUUAGUGUGCGAUGGAAGGACGCUUAGGGCUAAGGGGGCUAGCGGAUGGAAGUGCUAGUCUAAGGUCGUAGGAGGUUAUACAGGCAAAUCCGUAUAACAAUACUCCGAGAACUGAAAGGCUUUUUGAAGUCUUCGGAUGGAUAGAAGAACCCCUGAUGCCGUCGAGCCAAGAAAAGUUUCUAAGUUUAGCUAAUGUUGCCCGUACCGUAAACCGACACAGGUGGGUGGGAUGAGUAUUCUAAGGCGCGUGGAAGAACUCUCUUUAAGGAACUCUGCAAAAUAGCACCGUAUCUUCGGUAUAAGGUGUGGUUAGCUUUGUAUUAGGAUUUACUCCGAAAGCAAGGAAACUUACAACAAAGAGUCCCUCCCGACUGUUUACCAAAAACACAGCACUCUGCUAACUCGUAAGAGGAUGUAUAGGGUGUGACGCCUGCCCGGUGCUCGAAGGUUAAUUGAUGGGGUUAGCAUUAGCGAAGCUCUUGAUCGAAGCCCGAGUAAACGGCGGCCGUAACUAUAACGGUCCUAAGGUAGCGAAAUUCCUUGUCGGUUAAAUACCGACCUGCAUGAAUGGCGUAACGAGAUGGGAGCUGUCUCAAAGAGGGAUCCAGUGAAAUUGUAGUGGAGGUGAAAAUUCCUCCUACCCGCGGCAAGACGGAAAGACCCCGUGGACCUUUACUACAGCUUGACACUGCUACUUGGAUAAGAAUGUGCAGGAUAGGUGGGAGGCUUUGAGUAUAUGACGCCAGUUGUAUAUGAGCCAUUGUUGAGAUACCACUCUUUCUUAUUUGGGUAGCUAACCAGCUUGAGUUAUCCUCAAGUGGGACAAUGUCUGGUGGGUAGUUUGACUGGGGCGGUCGCCUCCCAAAUAAUAACGGAGGCUUACAAAGGUUGGCUCAGAACGGUUGGAAAUCGUUCGUAGAGUAUAAAGGUAUAAGCCAGCUUAACUGCAAGACAUACAAGUCAAGCAGAGACGAAAGUCGGUCUUAGUGAUCCGGUGGUUCUGUGUGGAAGGGCCAUCGCUCAAAGGAUAAAAGGUACCCCGGGGAUAACAGGCUGAUCUCCCCCAAGAGCUCACAUCGACGGGGAGGUUUGGCACCUCGAUGUCGGCUCAUCGCAUCCUGGGGCUGGAGCAGGUCCCAAGGGUAUGGCUGUUCGCCAUUUAAAGCGGUACGCGAGCUGGGUUCAGAACGUCGUGAGACAGUUCGGUCCCUAUCUGCCGUGGGCGUAAGAAGAUUGAAGAGAUUUGACCCUAGUACGAGAGGACCGGGUUGAACAAACCACUGGUGUAGCUGUUGUUCUGCCAAGAGCAUCGCAGCGUAGCUAAGUUUGGAAAGGAUAAACGCUGAAAGCAUCUAAGCGUGAAGCCAACUCUAAGAUGAAUCUUCUCUAAGCUCUCUAGAAGACUACUAGUUUGAUAGGCUGGGUGUGUAAUGGAUGAAAGUCCUUUAGCUGACCAGUACUAAUAGAGCGUUUGGCUUA